rnacentral:rRNA from 1 species
CGGAGCUUGCUCCACCGGAAAAAGAAGAGUGGCGAACGGGUGAGUAACACGUGGGUAACCUGCCCAUCAGAAGGGGAUAACACUUGGAAACAGGUGCUAAUACCGUAUAACAAUCGAAACCGCAUGGUUUUGAUUUGAAAGGCGCUUUCGGGUGUCGCUGAUGGAUGGACCCGCGGUGCAUUAGCUAGUUGGUGAGGUAACGGCUCACCAAGGCCACGAUGCAUAGCCGACCUGAGAGGGUGAUCGGCCACAUUGGGACUGAGACACGGCCCAAACUCCUACGGGAGGCAGCAGUAGGGAAUCUUCGGCAAUGGACGAAAGUCUGACCGAGCAACGCCGCGUGAGUGAAGAAGGUUUUCGGAUCGUAAAACUCUGUUGUUAGAGAAGAACAAGGAUGAGAGUAACUGUUCAUCCCUUGACGGUAUCUAACCAGAAAGCCACGGCUAACUACGUGCCAGCAGCCGCGGUAAUACGUAGGUGGCAAGCGUUGUCCGGAUUUAUUGGGCGUAAAGCGAGCGCAGGCGGUUUCUUAAGUCUGAUGUGAAAGCCCCCGGCUCAACCGGGGAGGGUCAUUGGAAACUGGGAGACUUGAGUGCAGAAGAGGAGAGUGGAAUUCCAUGUGUAGCGGUGAAAUGCGUAGAUAUAUGGAGGAACACCAGUGGCGAAGGCGGCUCUCUGGUCUGUAACUGACGCUGAGGCUCGAAAGCGUGGGGAGCAAACAGGAUUAGAUACCCUGGUAGUCCACGCCGUAAACGAUGAGUGCUAAGUGUUGGAGGGUUUCCGCCCUUCAGUGCUGCAGCUAACGCAUUAAGCACUCCGCCUGGGGAGUACGACCGCAAGGUUGAAACUCAAAGGAAUUGACGGGGGCCCGCACAAGCGGUGGAGCAUGUGGUUUAAUUCGAAGCAACGCGAAGAACCUUACCAGGUCUUGACAUCCUUUGACCACUCUAGAGAUAGAGCUUCCCCUUCGGGGGCAAAGUGACAGGUGGUGCAUGGUUGUCGUCAGCUCGUGUCGUGAGAUGUUGGGUUAAGUCCCGCAACGAGCGCAACCCUUAUUGUUAGUUGCCAUCAUUCAGUUGGGCACUCUAGCAAGACUGCCGGUGACAAACCGGAGGAAGGUGGGGAUGACGUCAAAUCAUCAUGCCCCUUAUGACCUGGGCUACACACGUGCUACAAUGGGAAGUACAACGAGUCGCGAAGUCGCGAGGCUAAGCUAAUCUCUUAAAGCUUCUCUCAGUUCGGAUUGUAGGCUGCAACUCGCCUACAUGAAGCCGGAAUCGCUAGUAAUCGCGGAUCAGCACGCCGCGGUGAAUACGUUCCCGGGCCUUGUACACACCGCCCGUCACACCACGAGAGUU